UACGGAGGGUGCGAGCGUAUCCGGAUUUACUGGGUUUAAAGGGUGUGUAGGCGGAUAAUUAAGUCAGUGGUGAAAUCUUCAGGCUCAACCUGGAAACUGCCAUUGAUACUAUUUAUCUUGAAUACUGUGGAGGUGAGCGGAAUGUGUCAUGUAGCGGUGAAAUGCAUAGAGAUGACACAGAACACCGAUUGCGAAGGCAGCUCACUACGCAGUGAUUGACGCUGAGGCACGAAAGCGUGGGGAUCAAACAGG
rnacentral:rRNA from 1 species